AUUGAACGCUGGCGGCAGGCUUAACACAUGCAAGUCGAACGAGUGGCGGACGGGUGAGUAAUGCCUGGGAAUCUGGCUUAUGGAGGGGGAUAACGACGGGAAACGGUCGCUAAUCCCGCAUAACAUAGGAUGAGCCCAAGUGGGAUUAGGUUGUUGGUGGGGUAAUGGCGCACCAAGCCGACGAUCUCUAGCUGGUCUGAGAGGAUGACCAGACACCCGGGGACUGAGACACGGCCCGGACUCCUACGGGAGGCAGCAGUGGGGAAUAUUGCCCAAUGGGGGCAACCCUGACGCAGCCAUGCCGCGUGAAUGAAGAAGGCCUUCGGGUUGUAAAGUUCUUUCGGUGACGAGGCGUUAUUCACAGAAGAAGCACCGGCUAACUCCGUGCCAGCCGCCGCGGUAAUAC
rnacentral:rRNA from 1 species